rnacentral:rRNA from 1 species
CAGCACCUCAAGUGGUCAGGAUGAUUAUUGGGCCUAAAGCAUCCGUAGCCGGCGCUGUAAGUUUUCGGUUAAAUCUGUACGCUCAACGUACAGGCUGCCGGGAAUACUGCAGCGCUAGGGAGUGGGAGAGGUAGACGGUACUCGGUAGGAAGCGGUAAAAUCCUGUGAUCUAUUGAUGACCACCUGUGGCGAAGGCGGUCUACCAGAACACGUCCGACGGUGAGGGAUGAAAGCUGGGGGAGCAAACCGGAUUAGAUACCCGAGUAGUCC